CUUGUAUUUCAUAAUGACGCAUUAUUUAUUUCAGGUGACUUGUAUUUCAUGAUGAGACAUUUCAUGAUGAGACAUUUCCAUUCCUUAUAUGCAAAUGAACGGGGCGUGGUUAGCUCACAGAUCCAGAGACCCAGACCAAAGCAACAGCACCACAAGAUUGACACUAACUGGUUCUUCUCUGGUCCGCCCAAUGCUGCUCUUCUGAGAGCAACCGCUCUGACAGCUCUCUCUAGUCUCUACUGGGAAACAGCUAAAAGUCCUUCUGGAGGCUUUGCAUUUGAACUCCUAUGACUGGUUGCGGACUUGAAGGGAACGCCUUCCUGACAUCCAGGAAAAAGUUUUAUUGGACAGAGGCAGUAGAGAUCUACUGGAAACAGUGGAGAGGGAGGAGAUGAUAUGCAGCAAAAGGCCCAGCCGGAUGGUUGCUGCUCCGUGUGGAACGUGUUCUAUCAGGUGUAACAUCUACCAAUGGUACAUGACAGAGACCUCCUCCACCUCUUUGCUGUCUUACUAGUCAAUCCUUCUGAUCAGGUCCUUUCCUAAAUAGUGAAAGGAUCAUGCCAGCCCACAUCAAACACCUGAUCAAGAGCUUGUGAACCUCACUGCUGCGGACACCUGUGUGAUAUUCGACUUCUGACUGGAACCCUCAAAAUGACCUGCAGGCUCAAGCCUC